GAACAUACUGGAUGAUGACCAUCUGGAUCACACACACCUACAUUAAGUCAGAACAGAACUGAAGAGUUGGAAGACAGUUUAAGGUCUGAUUUACUUCAAGCAAAGUUUGUUUCAUUCUUCGUUUGUGGGCAAAAAGAAGUUUGAAAAGGCUGAGCGACAGUAUAGUGUUUCAGAACUUUUCAACACACCCACACUGCUGGAUGCGAGGUGUAGAUUCAUGUAAAUAAUUAUGUUGCGCUGCUCGCGGAUAUCCCCAAAACACAACAACAAUGAAAUAAAGUGUAGGCAAUCUAGGUGUGAGACUGGCUCCAAUGGUACAAAUAUUAUAGACAAAAGAAUAAUGAUUAACAGCUGUUUCUUAGACAAGUGCCAUGUUUGCAAUACAAAAGAACCAAACCAUUUCCAUAAUCAGUCCUUUAUGAGAAGUGUGAAAGGCUCAUAGUCUGAAAGCUUUAGCAUGACGUGAAAAAAGUUUACUUUCAUUUAUUUCAUUAAACUGGAUAAACUGUUAAA